GGCCGCAGUUGCCCGGAGUUUUUGGGGCCCCCGGGAACCCGCGCGCCGAGGCCGGCUAAGUUUGGCAGACUCUCUGAGCUCUCGGAAUUCGACUGCCUCCAUUGUUGCUCCUUCUGGCACCCACAGACCAAGAGACGGGGUUUCACCAUGUUGGCCAUGAUGGUCUCGAUUUCUGACCUUGUCAUCCGUCCGCCUUGGCCUCCCAAAGUGCUGGGAUUACGGGCGUGAGCCACCGUACCCAGCCUGCUUCCUGUUUUAACAGACGAAGAAAUGGAAUAACUUCCAACAACACAGGUUGGAGCUGAAGGAGUGCCCAGGCUGCGGAUGGAGGAAGGACGUGCUCGGGAGAAGGUGAAGAUGGGAGAGAAGCAAGAUCUUCUGUGUUUGGACCAAGGACACAUUUCCUUACUCCAUAGCAGCUGUGCAUGGAAUAUGGAUGUGUGGUCUGGAUGUACAGACACCAUUUUGGACCAUAAAGACAAGGACGAUUGUCUAAGGAUGACACAGCCAGAGCACUGAGAGUGGCGAGAAGGACAGGGGAGCUGCUGUGCCAAGCAGGACUGUCUCUCUUAAGAG
rnacentral:lncRNA from 10 species